AACGCAUCUUGCACCCCUUGGUGAUCCGAGGGGUAUGCCUGUUUGAGUGUCUUUAACGCAUCGAACCCCUUCCACUCCUUUGGAAGGGCUUCGGACGUGAGCGCUGCCGUCGACCCCCGAUCGGCUCGCUCGAAAAGCGUUACAUCUCUGCGUCCGGUGCGUCUGACCGUCGGUUGGUGUCGUAGAACUCCCCCCAGAGGGCUGUGAAUCCACCUCGUCCGAUCGGUCGUCCUCCGCGACUGGAGCUUUGUCCCCUCUCGCGUCUCCCGAGACGCGCGUUUCGAAUUCGGACCUCAAAUCAGGUAGGACUACCCGCUGAACUUAA
rnacentral:misc_RNA from 1 species